rnacentral:lncRNA from 1 species
UUAAAUAGCAGUCUUGAACACUGCACCACAGACCGGUUGGAUUUGUUCUUGAAUUCUUCAAUCGGACAGGAAAAUAAAAUUAAAGGAAUAAAAAUCUAAGGUCUAACAUAAGGUUAGGUCUAGUGAAAGGUACACCAUAGUUUCCGGUGUAGAAACUACUGUGCGAAAAAUUAAGUAAUUGCUGGAAAAAGAAAAUAGAAAUUGCAAAUGAAACAAUAUAAAAGUUGUAAAAGUAAUGCUGUAAAAUAUGCUUAUGCUGCUGGAAGAGAAAAAGUGCGAAAAAGAGAAAACGGCGAGGAAGCAAAACGUCCUGAGGGUUUGCCAAAAACUACUAUUUAUAUUGGUCUCUUCUCGUAACUGCUUCCAAAGGUCUUCCGCGUAAAAGGGUCUUCACGUGCCAAAUGGUCAGGCGUACAAAUA